AGGAGUCAGUCACAGUCAGCACAUACUACGGACAUGAAGGCCCCUGCUCAGCUCCUGGGGCUCCUGCUGCUCUGGCUCCCAGGUGCCAGAUGUGACAUCCAGAUGACCCAGUCUCCAUCACUAUCUGCAUCUCUAGGAGACAGAGUCACCAUCACUUGCAGGGCAAGUCAGGGCAUUAGCAACUAUUUACAUUGGUAUCAACAGAAACCAGGGAAAGCCCUUCAGUUCCUCAUCUAUAGAGCAACAACUUUGCAACCUGGAGUUCCAUCCAGGUUCAGUGGCAGUGGAUCUGGGACAGAGUUUACUCUCACCAUCAGCAGCCUGCAGCCUGAAGAUGUUGCCACUUAUUACUGUCAACAAGGUUACCGUGAUCCUCCCACAGUGAUACAAUCGUAG